rnacentral:rRNA from 1 species
UAACGCGAAGAACCUUACCAAGGCUUGACAUACACGAGAACGGGCCAGAAAUGGUCAACUCUUUGGACACUCGUGAACAGGUGGUGCAUGGUUGUCGUCAGCUCGUGUCGUGAGAUGUUGGGUUAAGUCCCGCAACGAGCGCAACCCUCGUUCUAUGUUGCCAGCACGUGAUGGUGGGAACUCAUAGGAGACUGCCGGGGUCAACUCGGAGGAAGGUGGGGAUGACGUCAAAUCAUCAUGCCCCUUAUGUCUUGGGCUUCACGCAUGCUACAAUGGCCGGUACAAAGGGCUGCGAUACCGUAGGGUGGAGCGAAUCCCAAAAAGCUGGUCUCAGUUCGGAUUGAGGUCUGCAACUCAACCUCAUGAAGUCGGAGUCGCUAGUAAU